AGGGGUGUGUCUCAGUGGUAGAGAGCUUGCCUAGCAUGCAUGAGGCCCUGGAUUCCAUCCCCAGCACUGCAA
rfam:Heterocephalus glaber contig145917, whole genome shotgun sequence.